rnacentral:lncRNA from 12 species
GGUAUGGAGGGGCUGCUGUCAGCAUCGGGGAGGGACACGCAGGUGCCAGCGCUCGGUGUCCCUGACCUCGCAGUGACCGUGGGGACACAGUCCCGGGCACCCACGGAGGUGGCAGGUGGGCGGCAGGAGCUGCCCGUGGCCGGGCUGGCGAGCAGGGAGCGGCCGGCGCUCGCCCGCUCGGAGCAGCUGGCGCGGAUGUCGCAGCCGAUCACGUCGGGGAAGGAGAAAUUCCACGAGAAAAAUGGAAAUAUUUUCAAGACACCCCCGGACAGAGAAUUGGGAAGGGAGAAGCUUUCAUCUGGUGCAGCCUUUGCUUCCUGCCCUGUGGGAUAAAAGUCCCAGCUGAAGUGACAAAGACUCAUAAGUUCUGCAGAACAAUUUAGCUCUUUCUGGAAAAAAAAUCUGGUUGUUCCCUGAAGUGGGACUGAGAGCUGGGUGCGAUGCGGGGUAAAGAAAGUUUCUGCGAAUGUCUGUCUCUUAAUUAAUAUUAAUACCUCUCCAGCUUUUUAAUCUCUGCUUUAAAUAAAAUGAAUCCAGCUAUGGCAGAGUUCCCACCGCAUUAAGAAACCCGUGAAAGCAGAGUGAUGGAUGCUUUGGAAGAUGGCUCUCAUUAAUGUCUAAUCCUUCCCAUCAGCCCCACUUGUCCCUGACACUUGGAGCUUGUUCACCAUUUUCUGCAAUGCUUUUCAGGCACUUCUGGGCCUGGGGGCAGGGGGGAGUGGCACAGCCUCCUCUCCUUGCCUUCAGGUGACAGUGCAAACAACAGCAUGGAAAAGUGGGUUCUGGUUUGGCUGCCACUCUUUCCAGCUGCCUGGCCCACCUUUAUUUUUUAAAAAAGUGUCUUUCAGGCAAAGCCAGAGCUUACUGGAGGUAAAAUAUUCCCAUUUCUUUAUAAUUUUGUGUAUAUAAUUUUGAAGGCCAGCAGCUGUUCCUGGGUGCAGAACCCUGUGGGGCUGUGGAAUUGAGGGUCUGUAGCUGCUGCCUCCUCUUGCUGCUCUGCUGUUGGUCAAGGGCAGUCAAUGUGGGCACCUUUUGGAAAGUGUCAGCUCCUGGAUUCGGGUGUAUUUCUGAAACAAAAUCACCUUAGUGCUUGUGGAAAAUGCAAUAGAAGAAACAGGAAGGGGGUUUGGUCUCCAUGGGGUUACAGCUAGAAAAUCCAGUGAAAGGGCCUUUUUCCUGGGCACAGAUAUGCCAUGGAAAAGCAGAGGAAAGCUUGUCCUGCUCCUCCCUGGUGUUUGUGGCAGCUCCAUGCCACCAUCCACCUCUGCAGUGAGCUUCUGCUUUUUGCAGCGCUGGCAAAGUUCCUGCCCUGAACACUGCUUUUCCUAGUUCAUAUCCGGGUCUCAGUGCUACUUGAGGAUGUGUCUGGGUGGCUGGUGACACCAGGAGAAGGAUGCCCAUCCUUCUCCUCCCAGCCUCGCUGGCUGUCCUCACGGGGAGGCCACAGGGCCCUGCCAAACCAAUCCCCCCGGGAAAAACAGGCUUGUGGUGCCGCAGAAUCCCUGCUGGGAGCAGCUCACUGAGCUCCUAAACACCAGGGAACUUCUGCAGCCUUGUGGGAUGGGCAGCUCCGGGGUCCUCCUGGAAGAGGAAAGCCGCCCGAACCCGCAGCAUCCAGCCCCAUAAACUCCGUUCGGGCUGGGAAUAACGGGGCGAAGUGGUUUUUUUUUUGUUUUUUUUUUUUUGUUUUUUUUUGGCAUCAGUUCUUGCCUCAAACCUUUCACAGUU